CCGGAUGUAGCUCAGCUUGGCUAGAGCACCCGCUUUGGGAGCGGGAAGUCGCAGGUUCGAAUCCUGUCAUCCGGA
rnacentral:tRNA from 1 species